rnacentral:lncRNA from 1 species
CAUAAUUAAACCCUGGCAAAAACAUAAUGAAAUUCAUCCAUCAUACCUCAUACAUUUAGAUGAUCCAAAUUAAGAGCAUAAAAUCAUGGGAAUGAGGCAAACCUGAUGGGAGAGACCGGUUGAAAUCAAAUGGCACGGCUGGGUUUGCAAGGCAAUGUUAGGGUUUGCGUGAGAUGAAAGUGUGUGAGUCAGAUUGAAUUUUUCAGAGCUGCCUGGGGGUUGCUCUGAG